GAUGAACGCUGGCGGCGUGCCUAAUACAUGCAAGUCGAGCGAACGGACGAGAAGCUUGCUUCUCUGAUGUUAGCGGCGGACGGGUGAGUAACACGUGGAUAACCUACCUAUAAGACUGGGAUAACUUCGGGAAACCGGAGCUAAUACCGGAUAAUAUUUUGAACCGCAUGGUUCAAAAGUGAAAGACGGUCUUGCUGUCACUUAUAGAUGGAUCCGCGCUGCAUUAGCUAGUUGGUAAGGUAACGGCUUACCAAGGCAACGAUGCAUAGCCGACCUGAGAGGGUGAUCGGCCACACUGGAACUGAGACACGGUCCAGACUCCUACGGGAGGCAGCAGUAGGGAAUCUUCCGCACUGGGCGAAAGCCUGACGGAGCAACGCCGCGUGAGUGAUGAAGGUCUUCGGAUCGUAAAACUCUGUUAUUAGGGAAGAACAUAUGUGUAAGUAACUGUGCACAUCUUGACGGUACCUAAUCAGAAAGCCACGGCUAACUACGU
rnacentral:rRNA from 1 species